rnacentral:rRNA from 1 species
GACAGAGGUCCCGAGCGUUAGGCGGAAUCACUGGGCUUAAGCGUGUGUAGCGGAGUCUAAGUACCUUGUGAAAUCCCACGGCUUAACCGUGGAACUGCUUGGUAUACUGGUUCUCUUGGGCCACUUAGGGGCUACCGGAACAAACGGUGGAGCGGUGAAAUGCGUAGAUAUCGUUUGGAACGCCAAUGGUGAAAACAGGUAGCUGGGAGUGUGCCGACGCUGAGACACGAAAGCCAGGGGAGCGAACGGG